CAAGGUAUAGCUCAGUGGUAGAGUGAGUACUUAGCAUGCAUGAGGUCCUGGGUUCAAUUCCCAGUAUCUCCU
rnacentral:tRNA from 1 species